CAGUAGCCGCGGGAAUACGUAGGUGGCAAGCGUUGUCCGGAAUUAUUGGGCGUAAAGCGCGCGCAGGUGGUUUAAUAAGUCUGAUGUGAAAGCCCACGGCUCAACCGUGGAGGGUCAUUGGAAACUGUUAAACUUGAGUGCAGGAGAGAAAAGUGGAAUUCCUAGUGUAGCGGUGAAAUGCGUAGAGAUUAGGAGGAACACCAGUGGCGAAGGCGGCUUUUUGGCCUGUAACUGACACUGAGGCGCGAAAGCGUGGGGAGCAAACAGGAUUAGAUACCCCCGUAGUCCCUGUCUCUUAUAC
rnacentral:rRNA from 1 species